rnacentral:rRNA from 1 species
CAUGCAAGUCGAACGGUAGAGGGGGCAACCCCUUGAGAGUGGCGAACGGGUGAGUAAUGUAUCGGAACGUGCCCAGUCGUGGGGGAUAACGUAGUGAAAAUUACGCUAAUACCGCAUACGAUCUAUGGAUGAAAGCGGGGGAUCGCAAGACCUCGCGCGAUUGGAGCGGCCGAUAUCAGAUUAGGUAGUUGGUGGGGUAAAGGCUCACCAAGCCAACGAUCUGUAGCUGGUCUGAGAGGACGACCAGCCACACUGGAACUGAGACACGGUCCAGACUCCUACGGGAGGCAGCAGUGGGGAAUUUUGGACAAUGGACGAGAGUCUGAUCCAGCCAUUCCGCGUGCAGGACGAAGGCCUUCGGGUUGUAAACUGCUUUUGUACGGAACGAAAAGGCUCUUCUUAAUGCGGAGGGCUCAUGACGGUA